ensembl:lncRNA
GGGGUUUUCCAGGCCAGUUAAUCUUUUGAUUUUUAUUUUCUACCCUAUGCAGGAGAGAAGAGAGCCAGGCAUGCUGGGUAAUAGAUCCAGAACAGUCUACAAGUAUUGCCAAGGACCUACUAUGUGCCAGUCACUGUUUUAGGCCCUGGGGACACAGGGUGGGCAAACCUGAGGAGGCCAUUAUAAUCUUUGUACCACACCGCACCAUCUUACUUAUUUUGUGUCUCUGUUCUGCUAGAGGGUGAGGGGCUUGUGAAGGCAGAGUUGUGUCUGGGUCAUCUUUGUAUCCAAAGUAGACAUGAUUUUUCCAUGAGUGUUUGUUGAAUGAAUGAAUGACCAUUUAGCUUACACAUCAUGGGCCAGGAACCUCUCUGGGUAUGGAGACAUGGCCACGAACAAGACAGAUGGGCACACACUAGGGGUGCAGAGACAAGAUACACAUUCAACAAGUACAUUAUCAGCAUGAAAUCAUGCAGAGAAAACAGUCUGGUUUCUCUAGUCAAAAUGAGCACCCAGGUAACCAGCACCACUCAGCCAGGGCAGUGAAAGAAGUGCGGUCAGGAUGGUGUAGGAGAAGCGGCCACUGAGAGGUGGUCCAGCGUGGUCUGAAAUGCCAGCUUGGUCACUGGAUCACUGUCGGAGCUUGGGGGCACAUUCUCUCUUUCAACCUCAAUUUCCCAUCUAGAAAUGGGAAUGAUAGUGUUUAACUGUCAAGGCACUGGAAAGAGGCACAGUUCUGAGACGGCCCCUUGACCUCCACCCCCUGGGGUCACACCUGGUAUAACCCUCUCCCCUUGAGUGUGGGCAUGACCUGUGACCUGUUUCUAAUGAACAGAACGUGGUAAAGGUAAUAGGAUGUCAUUCUUGUGAUUAGGUUAUUAUCAAUCUAUGUAUUACUUAUCUCUCUUUCUAUCUACCUAUCUAGCUCUUUCUUUCAUCAUCUACUUUACCAUCUUUAUCUAUCUCUAGAUGUAUACAUCCAUCAUCUAUGAAGCCCACAUGGCAAGGAAUUGCAGGCAGCCUCUAGCAUCUGAGGGUGGCCCCAGCUGACAUCCAGCCAGACAGCAGGGCUCCCAUCCCACAGCCACAGGAAAUGAAUUCUGACACCAGCCUGAAGGAGCUUGGAAGCAGAUUCUUCUACAGUCGAGCCUCCGGGUGAGAAUGCAGCCUGGCUGCUACCUUGGCCACGACCUUGUGACACCCUGGGCAGAGGACCGAGCUGAGCUGUGACCAGACUCCUGACCUCUAGGAACCUUGAAAUAGUACAUGUGUAUUGUUGAGGCCAUUAAGCUUGGAGUAACUGGCCAGGCAGUAGGUGACCAGAUGCUGGCACACAGCAGGUAGGGUCUGAAAGUCAGAGGUGAAAGACAGCAGAGGGUGGAUCAGUUUAGCCUCCCCCACCUCGUCUUGCACACACCUGCCCCCCACCCCAAACCCUCACAGAGCUGGGCAUCCUGGGGGGCUCUGGGCUUGCAGCAAGGUCAGCCAUGCUGAGGUGCCUGCAUUUGGAACAAGAAGCAUCACCAAAGGGCACUCGCUUUCUAGCAGAGCAGAUGCUCCAAACUGCAUGCACUUGGGGUUCACUGGCCUCGAGGCUGGCAGCUGCUACCUUGGAGCUGAGAAGAGGCACUAGAGAAGCAAUAGGAUCCCUGAUAUCUGCCCAGAACCCGGGGAUGAGAAGGCCCGCAAAAAGAGACUGCUCGCCUCUUGUCAUGGCCUGCAGUGGACUCUGCAGAACUCUGGCCUCACCAUCUGCUUGGACAACGUCUGUGGCUGCUCAGGUUUGUGGGCUCAGAAUGGGAGGUCGAUGCCUGGUUUGCUUCCAGACUCAUCUGAUUUAAUUUCAGCACCGUUUCUGAAAGGGCUCUGAUUUCUCUGAUACUCGUUAAAUGACUCCCUCUGCCCCUGCCGUGCAGCCAGACCCUGUCCAGGUCUGGAAUGAUUAAGACUGAAUUUUCUGAGCCUUCGGGUCUCUGUCACAGUGGAGGAGACAAGGCUUGUUGCUCAAGGCUGUAGGAAGAUCAUGGUGAACACGAUUGUCCACCUCCUGCUCUCAGGUUACCCUGGACCAGAGGCUGGCUGAGGCUUAAAUGGAGCUUCUCACUUAACUCCUUGGAGACCCUGGAGAGAGGAGGUUCUGGAUAACCUUACUGGGCAUUAGCGGGGAUGGACUAAUGAUGAUUUCCUCCCGAUAGCAAGUGUGCUCCACGACCGUUGAUGAUGCUGGCCUUAACCAUUUACAGAGGGCAAUGUGGGGUCUAAGCAACCCAGAGUCAGGGUGACGCUCUGCACCCCCCCAACUUUGGGGGACAAUCAGACUGGUCCUAACAGUGACAAUGUGGACCCCACACCAGUAAGAAGGGAAGAGAAUUUGGCUUCCCUGAGGGCCUCCAACGUGCUGGGCAGCAGAUCCAGUGCUUUACAUACUGAAUUUCCUUAAACACCCAACACAACCCUGAGUGAGCUGCUAUUCAUACCCACAGUGUUCCAUGUAUCCACGGCUCCAUGAUAUCCCCCCCAGAACCUUCUGAUUGACUAUAACAACCCUUGUCUGUUUUGCUCACAGGUCUGCAAUUUGAGCAUGGAGACAGCCUGUCUCCCAACACAUGGCAUCAAGCAAGGUGGCUCCACUGAGGCCAAAAGGUCCACUUCGAAGAUGGCUCAGUCACAUGGAAGCCAAAUUGAUGCCAGCUCUCAACUGGGAGCUCAGUGGAGACUGUCAACCCUGGGCCUUGUUGUCUCCGUGAAGACCUAUCCGCAGGGCUGCUUGGGUUGCCUCACGAGAUGGCAGCUGAGCGCCAAGAAAUCCAGGUGGAAACCACAAGGCUCUGUGGGUGACCUAGCCUCAUGGGUGAUAUCCCUGAAUAUCAUUUCUCCACAUUCUACUGGCCAGUGAAGUCGCUGAGGCGAAUCCAGGUUCAAGGGGAAGGAAAUCAGACUCCACCUCUCAGUGGAGGGAGUAGGAAAUAGAGGCACUUACCUCUAACCCACCAUAUGUAUUUUACAGAUGGGGAAUCUGAAGUUUCAGAGCCAUGUCACACCUUCCCACAAUGAACAGCUGGAAAGCAGCAGAGACCCACAUCUGAACCCACCUCUGAAUAAGCUCUGAACAUAAGGUCUUUCUAUUCUACCAAGUAGUACUUUAGACCAGGAAGCUAAUACCAAUGGCUGAUUGGUUUAGCUAAUCAGGCGUAUCUUCAGAAAUAGGCCCAGAAAGACCAGUAAAAAUAAGACCCGUGUUUGAAUUUCUUAACUCUAUAUAAGUUUCCCCAAGCAUUAAGUUUCUUUAUGGAGAGCUGAGCUCAGUCAAAGUUUUUGUAGACUAAGACUUUAUCAGAACAGAAAAGCCAGGCUUAAACAAUGAAUGUGACCUGGACUAGAAAAAUUCUUCUUAAAUUUUUCCACAUUUUCCUUAUUCUUGCCAAGCAUUCUUGUCCCACCAUCCCUCCACCAAAGACUAGUUGGAGACACGUGGGUGCACAGAAAUGCUGUGUACAGUUGCUCAGGAUGUGCAUUGUACAAGGAGGUCAGUUGAACAGUGAAAGGGGUUAAAACUCAGCCUGUGCUCCUCUCUGCGAGCCUUGCGUCUGGUAUGGGACUGAGUCCAACUGGAGUUAGGGUGCUGUUUCCUAAGCUGAUCAAGUUAGCCAGGGAGGACUAACUUGCAAAGCCAACUUCAAAGCAAUUCUACCCAAAUUGUCCUGAGGAGAGGCUGAACGUUUCAAGGGGAAAGUGGAGAAGGAGAAUGUGAUGACUCUUGGUCUCCCAAGAAACAUCUCAAGCAGUUCUUCUCUGGCUCCAAACUUGUAUACUUUGUUCGGAAAAACAAAAGUUCCUCAUUUAGCGGGAUCACCUUCCAUGGAGGUGAUCAUGUAUUUUUUAGCUAUUUAUUUGCCCUUUCAGGGACUUGCCCUUCUUGGGUUCAAGUUUGAUUCUUCCAUAAAUGGAAGGUCACUGCAUGAUCUUGGAUCAAAUGUGUAACAUCUCAGAACUUGCCACCUCCCCUGCGAAAGAGGAAUCCUAAUAACAGGCAUUUCAUUAAGUCUCAGAUACUAUCAUUUUUAACAUGUACCAUUAUUUCACGUAUCGCGAAGGAAAUAAAGCUGCCAAUUCAACUGACAUGUCUUUGAUUCUAAGAUGUAUACUGAUUUCAGAGAGAAAAAUGGAAACAAAAUAGGUCUUGGGACUGAAGGAAUUUAGUAAAAUAGUUGGCCUACCUACAUGAAGAAAGGGUGUUGUGAGGAAUUAAUUAAAUAAUGUGCAAAAAAAAAGAUUUUUUAAACAAAAAAGCACUAAAAAUAUGAAUUCUUCUUAGAAUCUGAACUUUCAACUGACUUCAUCUUAAAGACUCACGUACUCUCAGAUCUUCCCAAGCCUUAUUUAACUGUCCUCAUGUAUUCACUAAGUAGUUCAAAAAGCUGCAUUUACAGCCUUAGGAGUCUGAAUUGCUUUUCUCCAUUUAUAACAUUCCCACCCUCUUAUGAUUUAUUUGUGUAGAAUCAACUUGUGAGUUUUCCCUUGAACUGGAUUCAAGAUUUGAGGCUUGAUUUAUAGUUAGAACUGACUAACAUUUGGAAACAAUGAACUGUGUUGUCUAAACACAUAAAUACCACAAGAGAAAGCUGAAGUGCUAAUUACUGUGAGGGGAGGGGGUGGGGGAGCAAACACACCACAAAAGGCUGCUCCCCGUCAGGGGCUCCUGACAACUGAGUGGGGAGAUGGGAGGAGGGUGGGGGGGGAAUUCCUGGGCCGCAUUUCCCAUGCUGCUUCAGGGGAGGAAAUGGCUGAGAGGUUUGGACUGUGGUUUCCCUCUGGAGGCCACCAAAAAGCAGUUGAUCCAUAAUUCUUCCAGUCUGGAAAAAACCGUAAGCUCUCUAGGGCCUUGGCUGCCCCAUGUCCUCAGUUGAGGACAUGAGGACAACAUGGCCUUGGCUGUCCAACUCCAUCAGGGGCCAGGAAACGAGCUCUGGUGUCUCGGGCCUGGCCCGUCGGAGGUGGAUCUGACUGGUUCAAGCCCAGGAGGCUGUGCUCUCCUGCUCCAGAUGCACCCAUCACAGUGUAGGAAAGAGCCCCUCCAAGUCGGCCUGGGGUCUUCAGGGGGUGGCCUGGCAUCCCCAAAGCAGCCACACCUUGGAAUCCAUCAGACCGGAGUUUACAUCCUGCCUUCAUCAUGUAUCAGCGGUUUGUUACUGGACUUUUCUGUGCCUCCAUCUCUUUAUUGGUAAAAGGCGUAAUGGGUUCACCUAGGGGACGCGGCCAUUCAAGGGUCUAGAGCAGAGUGGAUGGGCAUCAGAUGAGUCCUCUUCAGAACUCUGAAUCAUCUUCAGCCAAUGUGAGCUGAACCCUCGCCACGUGCAGAUGCUCUCAUGGGUUGGAGAUGCUGUGAUGAGGAAGUCAGAUAUGGUUUAAGCUCCUACAGGACGUAGAGUCCAGGGCUGGGAGCCGAUAAACAAACAAACGAAAUAGAAUACAUCCGGCGGUGAUAAGGGCUAUGGAAACAAAUAAAGCAAGAUAUGGCUGGAGAGACAGGAUGUGGGGGGACCACAGUGCCAUCUUAGGAAGGGUGGUCAGGAAGGCCAUGCUUACUGAGGCACUUCAGCCCCUCAGCCCAUGAUGCUCAGCCCAGGGGUUCUUGACUAGGGGCUAUUCUAUCCUCCUGUAUCCAUCCUGUAUACGAUAGUUUGCACCUGCUAAACCCAAACUCUUAAUUCUUCACUCCCCUAAACCCCUUCCCCUUGGGAAAUACAAGUCUGGGCUCUAUGUUUGUGACAUCUGAUAAUGUCUA